CUGAGCGGUGAUGCGAUAAGCCAACCGAUUCUGCGCAAGUUAGUGCCUUAUGGAAUAAGUUGCAGUGCGCGUCGUGUAUUUUUGCUCUAAUAGUUUUCCUGGUCUAAACCGCCCCCAAAAAUCAGGGUAUUGGUGUUAUCGCGUAUGUCUCUUCAUGCCAGUGUACCGAUGCGAAAGUGAACUAGUGCGGUUGUGUAGUGCUUCGUUCAUCCGUGGAUGAUGGUUCUUCCUAGGCGUGACCGAAUUCAUAAGGCUAAAGGAUUCCAGAAGGGCAGCCUUAUAAAGGUAGGAUUUUUCCUUUUCGUGCAUGGGUGGCGGCAUUUUAUUUUUUUUGUAUUUAGCAGGGGGGAGUGAAUAGUGCAUAUAGUGAUAAAAAGAAGAUCAACAAAUUUUUUUGGCUGGCCUUUGCUCUGUAAUUGUAAGUGAGUUGUGACUUUCUACUAAACUUAUCGUCUUGGUAACUUCAAAUUGACUUCAACGGUUCUUUGAAUAGCUUCUUCUCGCGACGACUAUCUGUUGACUUUAUGCUAAAGACUGCAAAUAUGAAUUCAUAGCUUUGCCGGUUUUAUGAGGUAAACGGAUAGUUGCUGUGAAGAAAAGGCCUAAAAGAAGUGUUGCAGCCUCUUUCGUUUACCAUGUGAGUAGCAUCGCAGAUUGUCGUACCUCAUUUAUUAUUACGCAAAGAUCAGCUUAAUGGUAAGGUUAUGUGUUCGUUUGUUAAUUAGCUACGUUAUCGAAACUGUCUAAUUUGUAAGUACUAAAUGAUGAGUGAUAAAGUAGUUAAAAAACGAACACAUUGAGAAGAAAUACAUUGGUUGUCCUCUUAAACUCAUAGGUUGUUUUUUGUUUCUCUGACGUAGCGCUGGAUCCUGUCGUUCCCUACUGGCGAAGAUUACCAGUUCGUAGUGGACAUCUGAUUCCAGUCUACCCCCGUCUCUGUUGCACAUAUAUGACCUCGGUUUAAGCGAAUAAGG